UGGGGAAUCUUAGACAAUGGGGGAAACCCUGAUCUAGCCAUGCCGCGUGAGUGACGAAGGCCCUAGGGUCGUAAAGCUCUUUCGCUAGGGAAGAUAAUGACGGUACCUAGUAAAGAAGCCCCGGCUAACUUCGUGCCAGCAGCCGCGGUAAUACGAAGGGGGCUAGCGUUGUUCGGAAUUACUGGGCGUAAAGCGCGCGUAGGCGGGUCAUUAAGUUAGGGGUGAAAUCCCGGGGCUCAACCUCGGAAUUGCCUCUAAAACUGGUGGCCUUGAGUCCGAGAGAGGUGAGUGGAACUCCGAGUGUAGAGGUGAAAUUCGUAGAUAUUCGGAAGAACACCAGUGGCGAAGGCGGCUCACUGGCUCGGUACUGACGCUGAGGUGCGAAAGCGUGGGGAGCAAACAGGAUUAGAUACCCGUGUAGUCC
rnacentral:rRNA from 1 species